rnacentral:rRNA from 1 species
UACGUAGGGUGCGAGCGUUAAUCGGAAUUACUGGGCGUAAAGCGUGCGCAGGCGGUUUUGUAAGCCAGAUGUGAAAUCCCCGGGCUUAACCUGGGAAUGGCAUUUGGGACUGCAAGGCUUGAGUGUGGCAGAGGAGACUGGAAUUCCUGGUGUAGCAGUGAAAUGCGUAGAUAUCGGGAGGAACACCGAUGGCGAAGGCAGGUCUCUGGGCUGACACUGACGCUCAUGCACGAAAGCGUGGGGAGCAAACAGG